AGGGCGAGCGAAGCCGCCGAGGUGGGAGGCAAAUCCCNGAAAACUGAUCUCAGUUCGGAUUGCAGGCUGCAACCCGCCUGCAUGAAGUCGGAAUCGCUAGUAAUCGCGGGUCAGCAUACCGCGGUGAAUACGUUCCCGGGCCUUGUACACACCGCCCGUCACACCACGAAAGUUGGUAACACCCGAAGCCGGUGGCCUAACCCUUAGGGGAGGGAGCUGUCGAAGGUGGGACUGAUGAUUGGGGUGAAGUCGUAACAAGGUAUC
rnacentral:rRNA from 1 species